UGAGAAGCACAUGUAAAUCUAGAUAGCA
rnacentral:piRNA from 1 species